rnacentral:lncRNA from 1 species
GUCGCCUUUUGAUAACAUAGGGCUCCAAUCCCUUGUUGCGAUUUUAGACAUAGGGCCUCCAUUCCCUAGUCACCUUUUGCCAACAUAGGGCUCCAAUCCCUAGUUGAGAUUUUAGACAUAGGGCCUUCAUUCCCUAGUCGCCUUUUGCCAACAUAGGGAUCCAAUCCCUAGUUGAGAUUUUAGACAUAGGGCCUCCAUUCCCUAGUCGCCUUUUGUCAACAUAGGGCUCCAAUCCCUAGUUGAGAUUUUUAGACAUAGGGUCUCCAUUCCCUAGUCGCCUUUUGCCAACAUAGGGCUCCAAUCCCUAGUUGAGAUUUUUAGACAUAGGGCCUCCAUUCCCUGUCGCCUUUUGCCAACAUAGGGCUCCAAUCUCUAGUUGAGAUUUUUAGACAUAGGGUCUCCAUCCCCUAGUCGUAUUUUGCAAACAAAGGUCUCCAACCCCUAGUUGAGAUUUUUAGACAUAGGGUCUCCAUCUACUAGUCGCCUUUCACGAACAUAGGGUGUCCACUCUCUAGUUGAGGUUAUUUAUAGAUAUAGGGCUCCACUCCCUAAUCUCUUUCUCCUAAAGAUACACAAUCCUUAUUUUAUCGCUUUCAAAUAAAGAAAUAGUUUAGAUUUUAGUUACAAAUAACUCACAAAAUUUUCCUAGUGAAUACUGGGGCAGAAAAAUUUCGUUCGUUUGUUUGCUUUGGUGGCUGAGCAGGUUUUACCUCGAGAUGACCAAAAGAAUGAAUCUCAAUCCAGAAUAAAGAAAAAAAAGAAAAGAACAAAAAGAAAUGAAUUCAAAGUGCAGAAGCGGAGAAAAGAUGCGGACUGCCAAUAUAUGGUUAAAGUCACAAGCUUUACAUGUCCCGCCUUGAUCCGAGAAGUUGAAAAAGAAAAGAACCAGCACAUGCAACUAACAAGCAUCAAGAUUUAGAUCAGAGUCUGCAUGAAGAACCAACCAAGACACAAGAUCAAGUUUCUGAAGACAUAGAUAGGAUCUUGUAGUUUCCUUAAUGUAACUUUUUUAUAUCUUUGAUGUAAUAAACAAGACUGCAGACCGGAGCUUUGAUAGAACCUCACUCGACUCCUCAACUCAUCAUUCCACCAUUCUCCUUGAAAUAUACGCGAUCUGAUUUCC